rnacentral:rRNA from 1 species
AACGAACGCUGGCGGCAGGCUUAACACAUGCAAGUCGAGCGCCCCGCAAGGGGAGCGGCAGACGGGUGAGUAACGCGUGGGAACGUACCCUUUGCUACGGAAUAGCUCCGGGAAACUGGAAUUAAUACCGUAUGUGCCCUACGGGGGAAAGAUUUAUCGGCAAAGGAUCGGCCCGCGUUGGAUUAGCUAGUUGGUGGGGUAAUGGCCUACCAAGGCGACGCUCCAUAGCUGGUCUGAGAGGAUGAUCAGCCACAUUGGGACUGAGACACGGCCCAAACUCCUACGGGAGGCAGCAGUGGGGAGUAUUGGACAAUGGGCGCAAGCCUGAUCCAGCCAUGCCGCGUGAGUGAUGAAGGCCUUAGGGUUGUAAAGCUCUUUCACCGGAGAAGAUAAUGACGGUAUCCGGAGAAGAAGCCCCGGCUAACUUCGUGCCAGCAGCCGCAGUAACAC